CAACUUUCUACUGGAACUCAAGCAAAUGUUACAAGCUGUCUCCUUCCUGUUAAAUGUAUUAGACUUUUCUUGAUUUUCCUUCUUUUUUUCCUUUUAAAAAGAUUUUAUUAUAGGUCUUUAUAGCAACAUCCAGACUCCAGAUCCAGCUGCCAAGGAAACCCUGUUACACUGGAGAAAUGCUCUGAUUUGUGGAGUUUACCAAUUUCCGUGGUGUAAAUACUCCACUGUGACCGACUGCGAGCUACCAGUGUGACGUCCCUGAGAGCCGAGGUGGGAGAGGUGGUGCAGGAGCACACAACAUUAUACAGUGUUUCCGCCACACAGAUACAAUGUACACGAAUGCCUCAACAAGAUUCCAAACUCUGAGUCCUGAGACCUUUAGUGCCUCCAACCAACUUGAACAUGUGUGCAAUUCACUGUGUCCAGCCCUACCCAAAAGAACAAGAAGGGCACCGGAGUCUGGAUGUCAACGAGAGAAAGCUUCAAGCCUGUUUCAGUUCUUUCUCCUGCCUUCGGUCUCGCUCCAUCUUCCCUGCCAUUUGGCAUCUCUCUCUUGGUAUUGUGUCUUGCAGGGCACUUCUCUGCCCUAGUAAGAGAUGAACAGGUGUGGCUGCAGAAGGAUAAUGGCAGGGUGCCCAAGGGUGGAGAGGGUGCAAAUUCCCUGCAUUGAUCUUUUGUUAUAGACUCCUACCUUCGUCCUACAUCCACAAAUGAAGGCCUACGGAGAGGAGUGGGGGUGUAGAGGUGUCACAAGGCCACAUUAAAAAAAAUCAUCUAUUUGCUUUGCUUUUAUAUGUAUAUCAGUUUUUUUGGUAUUUUGAUUUGCUCAUAAACCCACGUCUACUAUGCAAAAGGAGAUUAGGUGUUAAAUAAUCAUAAUACUUGUGAUUCAUAUAUGAAAUAGUUGAGCAAUUCAACUAUUUCUAUAAAUUAUAAACAAAUUAAUAGGCCUAAACUUCACAAUGUUCUAUCUAACACUUUACAAAAAGUUUGAAAGGGAACCAGUUUUACCUUAUGCAUGAGUAACGAGUCAAAAUAUCAU
rnacentral:lncRNA from 1 species